rnacentral:lncRNA from 1 species
CCGAUACUGUCUAAUUUCACCCUAAUUCACCCUAAUGCCUACCUAAUCCAUGGCCUCUCAUGGUAAUUGGAGACGUGUAUCAGCCUCUUAUGGCUCCUGGGUGUUUGUUUAUGUGGUUUCAUGGUCAGAACUCGAAGAAAUCCGGUCCAGUCGUUGUUUAACUUCUAUUCGUGGCCUUUAUCCGGCCACCCAUGACCUUUCUUUGGCCAUUCCUGGCCUUUCAAGGCCGAUCUUUGACUUUUUCUGGUUGGAAGGUUAACUUUCAAAGUUUCUCUCCCUUUUUUUGGGUUUUCUGAAACCCUAGCUCUAAGAUAUUUUAUUUUUCUUUCAGAUCUCUCUUAGAUCUUUACCUACUAUGAAUUUCUU